UACAGAGGGUGCUAGCGUUGUUCGGAAUCAUUGGGCGUAAAGGGCGUGUAGGCGGUUUGUUAAGUCAUGUGUGAAAUCCCUCGGCUCAACCGGGGAAGGACGCAUGAAACUGGCAAGCUAGAGUACCAAAGAGGGGGGUGGAACUCCCGGUGUAGCGGUGAAAUGCGUAGAUAUCGGGAGGAACACCUGUGGCGAAGGCGGCCCCCUGGUUGGAUACUGACGCUGAUACGCGAAAGCGUGGGGAGCAAACAGG
rnacentral:rRNA from 1 species